rnacentral:rRNA from 1 species
CCUACGGGGGGCAGCAGUGAGGAAUAUUGGUCAAUGGACGAGAGUCUGAACCAGCCAAGUAGCGUGAAGGAUGACUGCCCUAUGGGUUGUAAACUUCUUUUAUAUGGGAAUAAAAUGUUCCACGUGUGGGAUUUUGUAUGUACCAUAUGAAUAAGGAUCGGCUAACUCCGUGCCAGCAGCCGCGGUAAUACGGAGGAUCCGAGCGUUAUCCGGAUUUAUUGGGUUUAAAGGGAGCGUAGGUGGAUUGUUAAGUCAGUUGUGAAAGUUUGCGACUCAACCGUAAAAUUGCAGUUGAAACUGGCAGUCUUGAGUACAGUAGAGGUGGGCGGAAUUCGUGGUGUAGCGGUGAAAUGCUUAGAUAUCACGAAGAACUCCGAUUGCGAAGGCAGUUCACUGGACUGCAACUGACACUGAGGCUCGAAAGUGUGGGUAUCAAACAGGAUUAGAUACCCUUGUAGUC